rnacentral:rRNA from 1 species
GUGAGGAAUCUUGCACAAUGGGGGCAACCCUGAUGCAGCGACGCCGCGUGGGCGAGGAAGGCCUUCGGGUCGUAAAGCCCUUUUCUGCGUGACGAGGAAGGACGGUAGCGCAGGAAGAAGCGUCGGCUAACUACGUGCCAGCAGCCGCGGUAAAACGUAGGACGCAAGCGUUAUCCGGAGUUACUGGGCGUAAAGGGCGUGCAGGCGGCGGUUCAAGUGGCUCGUGAAAGGCCCCGGCUCAACCGGGGGAGGUCGGGUCAGACUGAAGCGCUAGAGGACGUUAGAGGGACACGGAAUUCCGGGUGUAGUGGUGAAAUGCGUAGAGAUCCGGAGGAACACCAGUGGCGCAGGCGGUGUCCUGGGGCGUACCUGACGCUGAGACGCGAAAGCAUGGGGAGCGAACGGGAUUAGAAACCCCUGUAGUCC